UUUAUUUUAUUUUAUUUUAUUUUAUUUUAUUUUAUUUUAUUUUAUUUCAUUUCAUUUCAUUUCAUUUCAUUUCAUUUCAUUUCAUUUCAUUUCAUUCCUUUACAAUAACAAAGUUGCACAGAAGGGAUAUAAAGAUGACAAAAGUACCGCUCUUCAAGAACAACAUUUAUCCUUUGGAAACUACAAAGACUGGGUGCAUAGUUUGUAAGAUUUCUAUUUUAUUUUAUUUUUUUUUAAAUAAUGUUUUCUUUUAUGCCUAAAUUUUCCUUGUCAGGUUUUCUCUCGACACCACAAGUGCACACAGUCAUCAGUUUCUGUGAAAAACUAAUGCAAAAAUGACAGUGGAGAAGAAAUCCUUACAGCAGCAGCUGCUGCCAGGUGAUUGCACUGCACCAUCACGGCCUUCUGCAGAGAAGCACAGCUGCAUCCUCGCCUUGCCUGAUGCAUCCAAACUAUACAGCUGCUAUUCCCUCCCACCUCCCAAGAUGGACUUUGAUGGACAGAAGAACCUGAGGAUGUGGUUCAGGAGAAGGAUAAACUGAAUAGCCUCAAGCCUGCCUAUGACAGCAAAGGGAGAAAAGGAUUUUACUUCGCAGCCAGUUAUCUGAAGAGCUGUAACUAAGGCUGGAUAUCUGUGUCCCCUCAUGCCACAUUAUUGCCACAUUAUCUUUCUUAACAGGUGAGUGUUUGUUUGUGACUAUGAGGUUCCAACAGCUACUGCAAUGUGAUCUUACCCUGGAGAGCUGCAUACUCUGGUGGGAGAUGUGCUUUGAGAGAAAACAAGUAUAAAGCACUAAUGAUUGGCUUGGUCUGGAUAAACAGAGGUUUCACACUUUAAACUAGAUGUACACUGAAGAAAUGUCAUUGUGGAGCCUAAUUGGAUUGAACAACACUUUGUCCUCUCCAGGGAGAUAGUAUUGGAUGAUGACUUCCAGCAAAACAUCAUGGUACCCCAUGAAGUCAGAGGCUGGUCUUGAUGUUGAGAUUCUGUUCUGGGCUACCUGGGAAAACGCUUUCCAAUUAUGAAGUUUCUGGAUAUCCUAAAGCCCUAAAGGACACCUACUCCAAGGAGACAGACAGAUAACAAUAGGUGCAGCCAGUAUUUUGACCACAGUUUUAAAGUAGUUCUAAAAUUUCAUUACUUUAUUUAAGACCCCCAGCUAAAGCAAGAUUUAUCAGUCUGCAGUGAGCAGCAGGUUCUCAUAAGAGCUCAGCAGUAAGCAGACAGCAAACUGCAUUACUUGAAUGAAAAAGUGAAGUGUCAUAUAAGCUCUACUCUAUUGGAAAUGGAUUAAAACAGAGCCUGUGGCCUUCUCACUAAAUCACAAAAGAGACGUACUUCUGUGAAUACUAUUUUUCCCCAGUUUUUCAAAGGAACU
rnacentral:lncRNA from 1 species